AAUCUUGGACAAUGGGUGCAAGCUUGAUCCAGCCAUGAUCGCGUGUGUGAAGAAGGCAUGAGGGUUGUAAAGCACUUUCAGCGAGGAGGAAGGGUUCGUGGUUAAUAGCCAUUAAUUUUGACGUUACUCGCAGAAGAAGCACCGCCUAACUCCGUGCCAGCAGCCGAGGUAAUAUGAAGGGUGCAAGCGUUAAUUGGAAUUAAUGGGCGUAGAGCGCAGGUAGGCGGUUUGUUAAGUUGGAUGUGAAAGCCCCGGGCUCAACCUGGGAAUUGCAUUCAAGACUGGCAAGCUAGAGUAUGUGAGAGGGGGGUAGAAUUCCAAGUGUAGCGGUGAAAUGCGUAGAGAUUUGGAGGAAUACCAGUGGGGAAGGCGGCCCCCUGGCACAAUACUGACGGUCAGGUGGGAAAGCAUGCGAGCAAACAGGAUUAGAUACCUAGGUUUCCGUGCAGUC
rnacentral:rRNA from 1 species